rnacentral:rRNA from 1 species
GACGUAGGGCGCGAGCGUUGUCCGGAUUUAUUGGGCGUAAAGAGCUCGUAGGCGGCUUGUCGCGUCGACCGUGAAAACUCGCAGCUCAACUGCGAGCCUGCGGUCGAUACGGGCAGGCUAGAGUUCGGUAGGGGAGACUGGAAUUCCUGGUGUAGCGGUGAAAUGCGCAGAUAUCAGGAGGAACACCGAUGGCGAAGGCAGGUCUCUGGGCCGAUACUGACGCUGAGGCGCGAAAGCUAGGGGAGCGAACAGG